GGUUUGCCUUCUGGACUGAUGAGGCCAGAAGCUUGUUACAGGGAACCUUUCAGCCAAUAUUCAGAGUGCCAAGAAAGCGUGCCAUCACUGAGGAAAUUCCAGCCCUCAUGCAGGCUGUCUUUGACCGCACUGCAGAGGAAAAGAGACUGGUGGACUUCAUUGUACAGUCACCGGGAGCUGAACUGCAUUUGGUGGUACUUAGACAUAUUCAUCACUCGCAGUAAAUAAAUCAACCAGGGCUUUUGUUAAAAAUAUUGUCAACUAUGCGCCCCAUUUAUUGGCAGUGACAGGCCAAUAAAAAUCCUGUCUGUGAUUGGUCACCUACCUACCUGCCCACACUCUGCCCAUGCACUCAUUGAUCUUCAGCAGAGUCUUCCUCCAGCAGUAUUUAGGCAGUGCAUGCUAAUUUGUUUGAGGUUUGGCUUUGAAAUAAGCCCUAAAUGUAUGGGGUGGAAUAUUUUUGGUUGAUUGCUUUCAAAAUCUACCUUAGUCUUGCUUGUUUCUCCAAUUCUGCAUAUUCUAGCUUUAAAGUCAGUUGUUCCUUCACUAACAGCUACCACACAAUACACUUAAAAAUCCUAUUACAACAAAAUAAUUGUAAUAAUUGUGGCAAAAUAAUUUCCCCGUAGGACGUACUCAAUGGGAAGACUUCAAAGUGGUAUCCUCCGAAGUCCUUACGCCAGGUGCCUGUCUACCUUGACAGUGAGGAACAACAGGACAACCUUUUUGCUUUUCUGAAGUCAGUAUUACAUAAGACACCAACGAAACUGAGCUUCACAGAUGAAGUGCAGUUAAUCUGUGGUGGUCUAUUUCCAGAGGCCAUCAUAUAUGGCCUGGCUGGGCUUCAGAAUUUGUCUCUGAAGGAUGCUGAGCAGGCCUUCCUCUCUGGUCCACAUUAUCAUCACAGUGAAGUGGAGGAAUUUAACAGAAUGAUAGAGAAACGAUAGAGAAACGAUUGAGAAAAGAAGGGAGAGCAUCCAGUUGGUAGGUAGUGCUGCUGCAUACAUCACAGUGUGUGCUUUAAAUAUUUAAAGGACAGGAAAAGUCAGAUCUCUUGCAUCUCUCUCUAUUAUUUUUUUUUUCUCGGUCCAGAUGUGCUUUAUUGACAUGAAUGUUUCAAGAACCUGUUCACCCAAAUCUUUGAACAGUAUGCAAUAACAGUAAUAUGAACAUUAUUUGGUAUGAAGAUUGAUAUAAUUUUGUAUCGUAUAUAAUGUGUGUGUUCUGUGGUGACUAAGAUCUUUAAAAUUUGAAAUUAAAAAUUAGAGAGUUGAACAAGUUCAACUAAAUGUUCCUUAUUUCAUUCACUUCUCUAUCUUUCUCUCUCUUAGGAGUCAGUGAAGACGUUGUGCAUGAAGUUCUUCCUAUGUGGUUCACGUCAUGAACAAAUUUGUUUUUGUGUGUGUUCAAAUUCAACUGUUGCAAUAUAUUAUUUUAUAAAAUAUACACAAUCUUAAAUCUACCCCCAGAGUCAUCCUUGUGUUUUCCCUCUGUACUUGAAAAUGUGAUUGACUGAAAAGGCUAUACCAUUCCUUGUUUAUUUUACUUGAUGAGUUAUUAAAUUAUGCAACUUGGACCC